rnacentral:lncRNA from 1 species
AGCUCACAUUCAUGGACCUACACUGAUAGAACUUGGAGGAGUCCACAUUAAGCCUUCUUCAUAGUAAUUGAUGAGGAUAUUGGGGUCCAAAGAGCCAAGUCAUCACUGGGGCUUUAGACUGGGGAACCUGGCCUUGGUAGAACUCUUCAGAGUUGCUGAUGUGCCUUUCCACGUUGGAAUGUCCUUAUUCACAAAGGGACCACAGACAUUUGUCUCCCUCUACUUUCAGGUUUUAUUUUGUUUUGAUCUCACUUAGCCAUCUAAAAUUUAAUGUUAUUUCUUU